AGGAUAAAAAUAGCGCCAGGUACCUUUUACAUUGGUCGAUAGGAGUAAAAGGUUGACGAGGAAAAGGGUGAUCGAAAAUUCGGCGGAUGCCCUUUCGUAGUUCCCGCUGCGGAUAUAUUGGCAAAUAUGCAGGUAACUGCAAAACAAAUUCAAUAUAACGGGAAAAU
rfam:Clostridium sp. CAG:230 genomic scaffold, scf200